rnacentral:rRNA from 1 species
AGUGAACGCUGGCGGUAGGCCUAACGCAUGCAAGUCGAACGGCAGCACAGUAAGAGCUUGCUCUUACGGGUGGCGAGUGGCGGACGGGUGAGGAAUACAUCGGAAUCUACUUUUUCGUGGGGGAUAACGUAGGGAAACUUACGCUAAUACCGCAUACGACCUACGGGUGAAAGCAGGGGAUCUUCGGACCUUGCGCGAUUGAAUGAGCCGAUGUCGGAUUAGCUAGAUGGCGGGGUAAAGGCCCACCAAGGCGACGAUCCGUAGCUGGUCUGAGAGGAUGAUCAGCCACACUGGAACUGAGACACGGUCCAGACUCCUACGGGAGGCAGCAGUGGGGAAUAUUGGACAAUGGGCGCAAGCCUGAUCCAGCCAUACCGCGUGGGUGAAGAAGGCCUUCGGGUUGUAAAGCCCUUUUGUUGGGAAAGAAAAGCAGCAGGUUAAUACCCCGCUGUUCUGACGGUACCCAAAGAAUAAGCACCGGCUAACUUCGUG